GGCUAUGAUGAUUAUUAUUUGUCGCCCCAGUCCUAAUGGCCUCUAUCCCAUGCGUGGGGGACGCC
rnacentral:snoRNA from 1 species